GACGAACGUUGGCGGCGUGCUUAAUACAUGCAAGUCAACUGAAGCAGUGGUAGCAAUAUCGCUGUGGAGGUGGCGCACGGGUGAUUAACACGUAGGUAAUCUGCCUUCAGGUCUGGCAUAACUCCGUGAAACCGGGGCUAAUAGCAGAUGAUGCAGCGGCUCGACAUCGAGACAGUUGUUAAAGCUAUGGCGCCUGAAGAUGAGCCUGCGUCUGAUUAGCUAGUUGGCGGGGUAACGGCCCACCAAGGCAACGAUCAGUAGCUGGUCUGAGAGGAUGAUCAGCCACACUGGAACGGAGACACGGUCCAGACUCCUACGGGAGGCAGCAGUAAGGAAUAUUGCUCAAUGGGAGAAAUCCUGAAGCAGCAACGCCGCGUGAGGGACGAAGGGCUUUUGAUUGUAAACCUCUGUAGUGAGAGAAAAAAAUCCCAAUCUUUGGGACAUGAUGGUAUCUCAAAAGUAAGCCCCGGCUAACUACGUG
rnacentral:rRNA from 1 species